ANAGUUUGAUAAUGGCUCAGAAUGAACGUUGGCGGCGUGGAUUAGGCAUGCAAGUCGCGCGACCAGGUUUUGUUAGCUUGCUAAUAGAACUGGAGGAGCGGCGAAAGGGAGAGUAACGCGUGGGUAUCUGCCUCUAGGCCUGGGAUAGCAGGGGGAAACUCCUGGUAAUACCGGAUAAUGUCUCCGGACCAAAGGUGUGAUUCCGCCUAGAGAUGGGCCCGCGUCCUAUUAGGUUGUUGGUGGGGUAAUGGCCUACCAAGCCAAAGAUGGGUACCGGGUGUGAGAGCAUGGCCCGGCUCACUGGGACUGAGACACUGCCCAGACACCUACGGGUGGCUGCAGUCGAGAAUCUUCCGCAAUGGACGAAAGUCUGACGGAGCGACGCCGCGUGCGGGAUGAAGGCCUUCGGGUUGUAAACCGCUGUCAGAGGGGAGCAAAUUAUUGGGGGUUCUCCCCCAGUAUUGAGCGAUCCUCAGAGGAAGUACGGGCUAAGUUCGUGCCAGCAGCCGCGGUAACACGAACCGUACGAACGUUAUUCGGAAUCACUGGGCUUAAAGAGUGCGUAGGCGGCCUGGCAGGUUGGGUGUGAAAUCCCUCGGCUCAACCGAGGAACUGCGCUCAAAACCGCCAGGCUUGAGUGAGAUAGGGGAGAGCGGAACUGAUGGUGGAGCGGUGAAAUGCGUUGAUAUCAUCAGGAACACCGGUGGCGAAGGCGGCUCUCUGGAUCUCUACUGACGCUGAGGCACGAAAGCUAGGGGAGCGAAC
rnacentral:rRNA from 1 species